rnacentral:rRNA from 1 species
GACGAACGCUGGCGGCGUGCUUAACACAUGCAAGUCGAACGAAGUGGCGAACGGGUGAGUAAUACGUGGGUAACCUGCCCUCCUUUUUGGGAUAAGCCUUGGAAACGGGGUCUAAUACCGAAUACAGGGGGAUGGGCUCGCGGCCUAUCAGCUUGUUGGUGGGGUGAUGGCCUACCAAGGCGGGGACGGGUAGCCGGCCUGAGAGGGUGACCGGCCACAUUGGGACUGAGAUACGGCCCAGACUCCGACGGGAGGCAGCAGUGGGGAAUAUUGCACAAUGGGCGAAAGCCUGACCGAGCAAUGCCGCGUGAGUGAAGAAGGUUUUCGGAUCGUAAAACUCUGUUAGUAGGAGAACGGUAUCUAAACAGAAAGCAACGGCUAACUACGUGCCAGCAGCCGCGGUAAUUC